CAGUAGCCGCGGGAAUACGGAGGGUGCAAGCGUUAAUCGGAAUUACAGGGCGUAAAGCGCACGCAGGCGGUUUGUUAAGUCAGAUGUGAAAUCCCCGAGCUUAACUUGGGAACUGCAUUUGAAACUGGCAAGCUAGAGUCUUGUAGAGGGGGGUAGAAUUCCAGGUGUAGCGGUGAAAUGCGUAGAGAUCUGGAGGAAUACCGGAGGCGAAGGCAGCCCCCUGGGCCAACACUGACGCUCAUGCACGAAAGCGUGGGGAGCAAACAGGAUUAGAUACCCCUGUAGUCCCUGUCUCUUAUAC
rnacentral:rRNA from 1 species